GCGGAGUAAAGUUUCGGAGAAGGUAUCUCCUUAAAAGUGAUGCAAGACUCGGAAUUUACCUAGGGUUUACGCUUCUCGGUUUCUCAGCCAACGGCUUGAAUGAUUCGAUGGAACGAUGGUAGAGAUGGAAGAUGGAGGUUUUGUCGAA
rnacentral:sRNA from 1 species